rnacentral:lncRNA from 1 species
UACGAUUAUUAUAUACUCAACCAAAAGUCACAGCCAUGAUAACAGUAACAUUUCCUAUUUCAAAUUUCUCUGUUUUGUUGAAGGAAUUGAAGGUCUUUCAUUUGCAACUUAACAGUAACAUUUCCUAUUUCAAAUUUCUCUGUUUUGUUGAAGGAAUUGAAGGUCUUUCAUUUGCAACUUAACAGCUUCUUUUGGCAAGGGCUUUGGCUCUUGAAUAUUGACCUCGUCACUGCCAUCAGCCACUUUUCUUGCCUUCUCUGCAACAAUUCUUUGUAUUUCACGCUGCUCGACUGAUUGAAAAACUGAACUC